UACGUAGGGUGCGAGCGUUAAUCGGAAUUACUGGGCGUAAAGCGUGCGCAGGCGGUUUUAUAAGCCAGAUGUGAAAUCCCCGGGCUCAACCUGGGAACUGCAUUUGGAACUGUAAGACUAGAGUAUAGCAGAGGGAGGUAGAAUUCCACGUGUAGCAGUGAAAUGCGUAGAUAUGUGGAGGAAUACCGAUGGCGAAGGCAGCCUCCUGGGUUAAUACUGACGCUCAUGCACGAAAGCGUGGGGAGCAAACAGG
rnacentral:rRNA from 1 species